ensembl:lncRNA
AUGCCCGUCAUCACUCUCUCUCAUCACUCCCUAUGCCCGUCAUCACUCUCUCUCAUCACUCCCUAUGCCCGUCAUCACUCUCUCUCAUCACUCCCUAUGCCCGUCAUCACUCUCUCUCAUCACUCCCUAUGCCCGUCAUCCCUCUCACUCCCAAUGCCCGUCAUCCCUCUCUCUCAUCACUCCCUAUGCCCGUCAUCACUCUCUCUCAUCACUCCCUAUGCCCGUCAUCACUCUAUCCCUCUCAUUCCCUAUGCCCGUCAUCCCUCUAUCCCUCUCACUCCCUAUGCCCGUCAUCACUCUCAUCACCCCCUAUGCCCGUCAUCCCUCUCACUCCCUAUGCCUGUCAUCCCUCUAUCCCUCUCACUCCCUAUGCCCGUCAUCCCUCUAUCCCUCUCACUCCCUAUGCCCGUCAUCCCUCUAUCCCUCUCACUCCCUAUGCCCGUCAUCCCUCUAUCCCUCACUCCCUAUGCCAAUCAUCCCUCUAUCCCUCACUCCCUAUGCCCGUCACUCUAUCCCUCUCACUCCCUAUGCCCAUCAUCCCUCUCACUCCCUAUUCCCGUCAUCACUCUCUCUCAUCACUCCCUAUGCCCGUCAUCACUCUCUCUCAUCACUCCCUAUGCCCGUCAUCCCUCUAUCCCUCUCACUCCCUAUGCCCGUCAUUCCUCUAUCCCUCUCACUCCCUAUGCCCGUCAUCACUCUCUCUCAUCACUCCCUAUGCCCGUCAUCACUCUCUCUCAUCACUCCCUAAGCCCGUCAUCACUCUAUCCCUCUCACUCCCUAUGCCCGUCAUCCCUCUAUCCCUCUCACUCCCUAUGCCCGUCAUCCCUCUAUCCCUCUCACUCCCUAUGCCCGUCAUCUCUCUCUCAUCACUCCCUAUGUCCGUCAACACUCUCUCUCAUCACUCCCUAUGCCCGUCAUCCCUCUAUCCCUCACUCCCUAUGCCCGUCAUUCCUCUCACUCCCUAUGCCCGUCAUCACUCUCUCUCAUCACUCCCUAUGCCCGUCAUCACUCUAUCCCUCUCACUCCCUAUGCCCGUCAUCCCUCUAUCCCUCUCACUCCCUAUGCCCGUCAUUCCUCUCACUCCCUAUGCCCGUCAUCCCUCUAUCCCUCUCACUCCCUAUGCCCGUCAUCCCUCUAUCCCUCUCACUCCCUAUGCCCGUCAUCCCUCUCACUCCCUAUGCCCGUCAUCACUCUCUCUCAUCACCCCCUAUGCCCGUCAUCCCUCUAUCCCUCUCACCCCCUAUGCCCGUCAUCCCUCUAUCCCUCUCACUCCCUAUGCCCGUCAUCCCUCUCACUCCCUAUGCCCGUCAUUCCUCUAUCCCUCUCACUCCCUAUGCCCGUCAUCCCUCUAUCCCUCACUCCCUAUGCCCAUCAUCCCUCUAUCCCUCUCACUCCCUAUGCCCGUCAUCCCUCUAUCCCUCUCACUCCCUAUGCCCGUCAUCCCUCUAUCCCUCUCACUCCCUAUGCCUGUCAUCCCUGUAUCCCUCUCACUCCCUAUGCCCGUCAUCCCUCUCACUCCCUAUGCCCGUCAUCCCUCUAUCCCUCUCACCCCCUAUGCCUGUCAUCCCUCUAUCCCUCUCACUCCCUAUGCCCGUCAUCCCUCUAUCCCUCUCACUCCCUAUGCCCGUCAUCCCUCUAUCCCUCACUCCCUAUGCCCGCCAUCCCUCUAUCCCUCUCACUCCCUAUGCCCAUCAUCCCUCUAUCCCUCACUCCCUAUGCCCGUCAUCCCUCUCACUCCCUAUGCCCGUCAUCCCUCUCACUCCCUAUGCCCGUCAUCCCUCUAUCCCUCUCACUCCCUAUGCUCGUCAUCCCUCUAUCCCUCUCACUCCCUAUGCCCGUCAUCCCUCUAUCCCUCUCACUCCCUAUGCCCGUCAUCCCUCUAUCCCUCUCACUCCCUAUGCCUGUCAUCCCUGUAUCCCUCUCACUCCCUAUGCCCGUCAUCCCUCUAUCCCUCUCACUCCCUAUGCCCGUCAUCCCUCUAUCCCUCUCACUCCCUAUGCCCGUCAUUCCUCUCACUCCCUAUGCCCGUCAUCCCUCUAUCCCUCUCACCCCCUAUGCCCGUCAUCCCUCUAUCCCUCUCACUCCCUAUGCCCGUCAUCCCUCUAUCCCUCUCACUCCCUAUGCCCGUCAUCUCUCUCUCAUCACUCCCUAUGCCCGUCAUCACUCUCUCUCAUCACUCCCUAUGCCCGUCAUCCCUCUAUCCCUCUCACUCCCUAUGCCCGUCAUCCCUCUCACUCCCUAUGCCCGUCAUCCCUCUAUCCCUCUCACUCCCUAUGCCCGUCAUCACUCUCUCUCAUCACCCCCUAUGCCCGUCAUCUCUCUCACUCCCUAUGCCUGUCAUCCCUCUAUCCCUCUCACUCCCUAUGCCCGUCAUCCCUCUAUCCCUCUCACUCCCUAUGCCCGUCAUCCCUCUAUCCCUCUCACUCCCUAUGCCCGUCAUCCCUCUAUCCCUCACUCCCUAUGCCCAUCAUCCCUCUAUCCCUCACUCCCUAUGCCCGUCACUCUAUCCCUCUCACUCCCUAUGCCCAUCAUCCCUCUCACUCCCUAUUCCCGUCAUCACUCUCUCUCAUCACUCCCUAUGCCCGUCAUCACUCUCUCUCAUCACUCCCUAUGCCCGUCAUCCCUCUCACUCCCUAUGCCCGUCAUCCCUCUAUCCCUCUCACUCCCUAUGCCCGUCAUUCCUCUAUCCCUCUCACUCCCUAUGCCCGUCAUCACUCUCUCUCAUCACUCCCUAUGCCCGUCAUCACUCUCUCUCAUCACUCCCUAAGCCCGUCAUCACUCUAUCCCUCUCACUCCCUAUGCCCGUCAUCCCUCUAUCCCUCUCACUCCCUAUGCCCGUCAUCCCUCUAUCCCUCUCACUCCCUAUGCCCGUCAUCUCUCUCUCAUCACUCCCUAUGUCCGUCAUCACUCUCUCUCAUCACUCCCUAUGCCCGUCAUCCCUCUAUCCCUCUCACUCCCUAUGCCCGUCAUUCCUCUCACUCCCUAUGCCCGUCAUCACUCUCUCUCAUCACUCCCUAUGCCCGUCAUCACUCUAUCCCUCUCACUCCCUAUGCCCGUCAUCCCUCUAUCCCUCUCACUCCCUAUGCCCGUCAUUCCUCUCACUCCCUAUGCCCGUCAUCCCUCUAUCCCUCUCACUCCCUAUGCCCGUCAUCCCUCUAUCCCUCUCACUCCCUAUGCCCGUCAUCCCUCUCACUCCCUAUGCCCGUCAUCACUCUCUCUCAUCACCCCCUAUGCCCGUCAUCCCUCUAUCCCUCUCACCCCCUAUGCCCGUCAUCCCUCUAUCCCUCUCACUCCCUAUGCCCGUCAUCCCUCUCACUCCCUAUGCCCGUCAUUCCUCUAUCCCUCUCACUCCCUAUGCCCGUCAUCCCUCUAUCCCUCUCACUCCCUAUGCCCGUCAUCCCUCUGUCCCUCACUCCCUAUGCCCGUCAUCCCUCUAUCCCUCACUCCCUAUGCCAAUCAUCCCUCUAUCCCUCUCACUCCCUAUGCCCGUCAUCCCUCUAUCCCUCUCACUCCCUAUGCCUGUCAUCCCUCUCACUCCCUAUGCCUGUCAUCCCUGUAUCCCUCUCACUCCCUAUGCCCGUCAUCCCUCUCACUCCCUAUGCCCGUCAUCCCUCUAUCCCUCUCACCCCCUAUGCCUGUCAUCCCUCUAUCCCUCUCACUCCCUAUGCCCGUCAUCCCUCUAUCCCUCUCACUCCCUAUGCCCGUCAUCCCUCUAUCCCUCACUCCCUAUGCCCGCCAUCCCUCUAUCCCUCUCACUCCCUAUGCCCAUCAUCCCUCUAUCCCUCACUCCCUAUGCCCGUCAUCACUCUUUCCCUCUCACUCCCUAUGCCCAUCAUCCCUCUCACUCCCUAUGCCCGUCAUCCCUCUCACUCCCUAUGCCCGUCAUCCCUCUAUCCCUCUCACUCCCUAUGCCCGUCAUCCCUCUAUCCCUCUCACUCCCUAUGCCCGUCAUCCCUCUAUCCCUCUCACUCCCUAUGCCUGUCAUCCCUCUAUCCCUCUCACUCCCUAUGCCCGUCAUCCCUCUAUCCCUCUCACUCCCUAUGCCCGUCAUUCCUCUCACUCCCUAUGCCCGUCAUCCCUCUAUCCCUCUCACUCCCUAUGCCCGUCAUCCCUCUAUCCCUCUCACUCCCUAUGCCUGUCAUCCCUCUAUCCCUCUCACUCCCUAUGCCCGUCAUCCCUCUCACUCCCUAUGCCCGUCAUCACUCUCUCUCAUCACCCCCUAUGCCCGUCAUCCCUCUAUCCCUCUCACCCCCUAUGCCCGUCAUCCCUCUAUCCCUCUCACUCCCUAUGCCCGUCAUCCCUCUCACUCCCUAUGCCCGUCAUCCCUCUAGCCCUCUCACUCCCUAUCCCUGUCAUCCCUCUAUCCCUCUCACUCCCUAUGCCCGUCAUCCCUCUGUCCCUCACUCCCUAUGCCCGUCAUCCCUCUAUCCCUCACUCCCUAUGCCCAUCAUCCCUCUAUCCCUCUCACUCCCUAUGCCCGUCAUCCCUCUAUCCCUCUCACUCCCUAUGCCCGUCAUCCCUCUAUCCCUCUCACUCCCUAUGCCUGUCAUCCCUGUAUCCCUCUCACUCCCUAUGCCCGUCAUCCCUCUCACUCCCUAUGCCCGUCAUCCCUCUAUCCCUCUCACCCCCUAUGCCUGUCAUCCCUCUAUCCCUCUCACUCCCUAUGCCCGUCAUCCCUCUAUCCCUCUCACUCCCUAUGCCCGUCAUCCCUCACUCCCUAUGCCCGCCAUCCCUCUAUCCCUCUCACUCCCUAUGCCCAUCAUCCCUCUAUCCCUCACUCCCUAUGCCCGUCAUCACUCUAUCCCUCACUCCCUAUGCCCAUCAUCCCUCUCACUCCCUAUGCCCGUCAUCCCUCUCACUCCCUAUGCCCGUCAUCCCUCUAUCCCUCUCACUCCCUAUGCCCGUCAUCCCUUUACCCCUCUCACUCCCUAUGCCUGUCAUCCCUCUAUCCCUCUCACUCCCUAUGCCCGUCAUCCCUCUAUCCCUCUCACUCCCUAUGCCUGUCAUCCCUGUAUCCCUCUCACUCCCUAUGCCCUUCAUCCCUCUAUCCCUCUCACUCCCUAUGCCCGUCAUCCCUCUAUCCCUCUCACUCCCUAUGCCCGUCAUCCCUCUAUCCCUCUCACUCCCUAUGCCCGUAAUCACUCUCUCUCAUCACUCCCUAUGCCCGUCAUCCCUCUAUCCCUUUCACUCCCUAUGCCCUUCAUCCCUCUAUCCCUCUCACUCCCUAUGCCCGUCAUCCCUCUAUCCCUCUCACUCCCUAUGCCCGUCAUCCCUCUAUCCCUCUCACUCCUUAUGCCCGUCAUCCCUCUCACUCCCUUUGCCCAUCAUCCCUCUAUCCCUCUCACCCCCUAUGCCCGUCAUCCCUCUAUCCCUCUCACUCCCUAUGCCCGUCAUCCCUCUAUCCCUCUCACUCCCUAUGCCCGUCAUCCCUCUCACUCCCUAUGCCCGUCAUCCCUCUCACUCCCUAUGCCCGUCAUCCCUCUCACUCCCUAUGCCCGUCAUCACUCUCUCUCAUCACUCCCUAUGCCCGUCAUCCCUCUAUCCCUCUCACUCCCUAUGCCCUCUAUCCCUCUCGCUCCCUAUGCCCGUCAUCCCUCUAUCCCUCUCGCUCCCUAUGCCCGUCAUCCCUCUAUCCCUCUCACUCCCUAUGCCCGUCAUCCCUCUAUCCCUCUCACUCCCUAUGCCCGUCAUCCCUCUAUCCCUCUCACUCCCUAUGCCCGUCAUCCCUCUAUCCCUCUCACUCCCUAUGCCCGUCAUCCCUCUCACUCCAUAUGCCCGUCAUCCCUCUAUCCCUCUCACUCCCUAUGCCCGUCAUCCCUCUAUCCCUCUCACUCCCUAUGCCCGUCAUCCCUCUCACUCCCUAUGCCCGUCAUCCCUCUCACUCCCUAUGCCCGUCAUCCCUCUAUCCCUCUCGCUCCCUAUGCCCGUCAUCCCUCUAUCCCUCUCACUCCCUAUGCCCGUCAUCUCUCUCACUCCCUAUGCCUGUCAUCCCUCUAUCCCUCUCACUCCCUAUGCCCGUCAUCACUCUAUCCCUCUGUUUUUGUCUCCCACCUCCAACUUCGCAGUAUAAGGGAGACGGGAAGUGGUGAGGGUUUAACAAGCCUCUGGAGACAGGAAGUGGUGAGGGUUUAA